rnacentral:tRNA from 1 species
GGGGGUUUAGCUCAGUUGGUAGAGCGCCUGUUUUGCACGCAGGAAGUCAGCGGUUCGAAUCCGCUAACCUCCA